UACGGAGGGUGCGAGCGUUGUCCGGAAUCACUGGGCGUAAAGGGCGCGUAGGUGGCCUGUGGAAGUCUGCGGUGAAAGCCCGGCGCUCAACGCCGGGUCGGCCGUGGAUACUCUCGGGCCUUGAGUCUUACUAGAGGCAGAUGGAAUUCCGGGUGUAGCGGUGGAAUGCGUAGAGAUCCGGAAGAACACCGGUGGCGAAGGCGGUCUGCUGGGGUAAUGCUGACACUGAUGC
rnacentral:rRNA from 1 species